UACGUAGGGUGCGAGCGUUAAUCGGAAUCACUGGGCGUAAAGGGUGCGUAGGCGGCGCGGUAAGUCGGGUGUGAAAUCUCGGAGCUUAACUCCGAAACUGCAUUCGAUACUGCCGUGCUUGAGGACUGGAGAGGAGACUGGAAUUUACGGUGUAGCGGUGAAAUGCGUAGAUAUCGUAAGGAAGACCAGUGGCGAAGGCGGGUCUCUGGACAGUUCCUGACGCUGAGGCACGAAGGUCAGGGGAGCAAACGGG
rnacentral:rRNA from 1 species